AAGGAAGUUUUCGGAUGGAAUUUGAAAUGACUGAGCGGCGGACGGGUGAGUAACGCGUGGGUAACCUGCCUCAUACAGGGGGAUAACAGUUAGAAAUGACUGCUAAUACCGCAUAAGCACACAGUACCGCAUGGUACAGUGUGAAAAACUCCGGUGGUAUGAGAUGGACCCGCGUCUGAUUAGCUGGUUGGCGGGGUAACGGCCCACCAAGGCGACGAUCAGUAGCCGACCUGAGAGGGUGACCGGCCACAUUGGGACUGAGACACGGCCCAAACUCCUACGGGAGGCAGCAGUGGGGAAUAUUGCACAAUGGGGGAAACCCUGAUGCAGCAACGCCGCGUGAGUGAAGAAGUAUUUCGGUAUGUAAAGCUCUAUCAGCAGGGAAGAAAGUGACGGUACCUGACUAAGAAGCCCCGGCUAACUACGUGCCAGCAGCCGCGGUAAUACGUAGGGGGCAAGCGUUAUCCGGAUUUACUGGGUGUAAAGGGAGCGUAGACGGCACAGCAAGUCUGAAGUGAAAUCCCCGGGCUCAACCCGGGAACUGCUUUGGAAACUGCUGGGCUGGAGUGCUGGAGAGGCAAGCGGAAUUCCUAGUGUAGCGGUGAAAUGCGUAGAUAUUAGGAGGAACACCAGUGGCGAAGGCGGCU
rnacentral:rRNA from 1 species